rnacentral:rRNA from 1 species
GACGAACGCUGGCGGCGUGCCUAACACAUGCAAGUCGAACGGGGUCGUUCCUGGUGGCAACACCUUGAACGGUCUAGUGGCGAACGGGUGAGUAACACGUGAGGAACCUGCCCCGAAGACCGGGAUAACAGAAGGAAACUUCUGCUAAUACCGGAUACCCCCAGCGGAUCGCAUGAUCUGGUGAGGAAAUGGAUUCCGCUUCGGGAGGGCCUCGCGGCCUAUCAGCUAGUUGGUGGGGUAACGGCCUACCAAGGCACACA